rnacentral:tRNA from 1 species
AUGGAGUUCUUCUGCUAUCACCGCGAUCGUCCCGGCUCCCUCGCCCUGCGCGAGAAGCUGGUGGAGGAACACUGGUCCUACAUGGACCGGUACGCGAAGGAGCUGAUCGCUCGUGGUCCGACCUUCGCCGAUGACGGGGAAACACCGACGGGCAGCGUACACAUCGUCGACCUGCCCGAUGCGACCGCCGCCCGCGCGUUCGCCUUCGACGAGCCCGGCUAUCAGGCCGGCGCGUACCGGGACGUGCUGCUCCGCAGGUGGCGCAACGUGCUGGGGCGCACCAUGUGGGACUUUCCCGGUGGCCGUACCGGCGGCAACCGGUACCUGGUGAUCGGCCUCGGCGAGGGCCCGGCAGCCGACCUCGCCCCGCCGCUCGACCGGGAGGAACUGAUCGCGUACGGGCCCCUGUUGUCCGACGACGGCGACACCUGGCUGGGCACGGGGGCGCUGCUCAGGGCCCCGGACGCGGAAACGGCACGAGCCGUCCUGACGGCAGACCGGUAUGCGGACAUCGAGGUCCACGACUGGGAGUUCGGCGGGCGCCGAUGA